GGACCCCCUUUCAUCCUUACGGGGCAGACAGUCAUGAGACGUGAGUAUAAGACCUGAGUGUAAAGACCUUAGGGUGAAGCAAUUGGAGGGCAAGCUUUGGUGCCAGCAGCCGCGGUAACUCCAACUCCAAGAGUGUCUAUGGUGGAUGCUGCAGUUAAAGGGUCCGUAGUCGUGAAUGCAAUUAAAUGUCGUUGUUCAAUAGCGAUGAGUUUGCUAAUGUUUGCGGAACGGAUAGGGAGUGUAGUAUAGACUGGCGAAGAAUGAAAUCUCAAGACCCAGUUUGGACUAACGGAGGCGAAGGCGACACUCUUAGACGUAUCUUAGGAUCAAGGACGAAGGCAGGAGUAUCGAAAGUGAUUAGACACCGCUGUAGUUCCUGCAGUAAACUAUGCCGACAGCCUGUGUGUGAGAAUACGUGGGCGGGAGAAAUCUUAGUGUUCGGGCUCUGGGGAUAGUACGCUCGCAAGGGUGAAACUUAAAGCGAAAUUGACGGAAGGACACUACCAGGAGUGGAUUGUGCUGCUUAAUUUAACUCAACGCGGGAAAACUUACCAGGGUCAAGUCAUUCGUUGAUCGAAUACGUGAGAAUGGCAGGAGGGUGUGAUAU
rnacentral:rRNA from 1 species